rnacentral:rRNA from 1 species
GAUGAACGCUGGCGGUGUGCCUAAUACAUGCAAGUCGAACGGACCUUUUAUUAAGCAAUUCCCGAUUCCUUUUCGGGCAUUACUCGAUGAAUGGUUAGUGGCGGACGGGUGAGUAACACGUUGGUACCUGCCCUUUAGUGGGGAAUAACUGGCCGAAAGGUCGGCUAAUACCGCAUGUGGUCUUCGGACUAAAGCAGCAAUGCGCUAAAGGAGGGGCCUGCGUCUGAUUAGCUAGUUGGUAGUGUAAUGGACUACCAAGGCGACGAUCAGUAGCUGGUUCGAGAGGAUGACCAGCCACACUGGGACUGAGAUACGGCCCAGACUCCUACGGGUGGCAG